rnacentral:rRNA from 1 species
GACGAACGCUGGCGGCGUGCUUAACACAUGCAAGUCGAACGGAAAGGCCCUGCUUUUGUGGGGUGCUCGAGUGGCGAACGGGUGAGUAGCACGUGAGUAACCUGCCCUUGACUUUGGGAUAACUUCAGGAAACUGGGGCUAAUACCGGAUAGGAGCUCCUGCUGCAUGGUGGGGGUGGGAAAGUUUCGGCGGUUGGGGAUGGACUCGCGGCUUAUCAGCUUGUUGGUGGGGUAGUGGCUUACCAAGGCUUUGACGGGUAGCCGGCCUGAGAGGGUGACCGGCCACAUUGGGACUGAGAUACGGCCCAGACUCCUACGGGAGGCAGCAGUGGGGAAUAUUGCACAAUGGGCGGAAGCCUGAUGCAGCAACGCCGCGUGCGGGAUGACGGCCUUCGGGUUGUAAACCGCUUUCGCCUGUGACGAAGCGUGAGUGACGGUAAUGGGUAAAGAAGCACCGGCUAACUACGUG